rnacentral:misc_RNA from 1 species
UGAUGGGACUGUGUAUCGAAAACCCUGAUCCAGCCAUGAAAACAAUAUCUUAUUAGCAUAUAUACAACAUAAACACUAUAAUCUUCAAUUGCAUCAAACUAAGUUGACCAUGCAUAGUCCAAAACUAGAUCUACUAAGAUAGAAGCUUCCAUUAGUAACUAUAAAUGAUUGCCAUUCACUAGUGGUGCAACAUCUGUCUAUUCCCUAAUUAAACUUGUUUUGACACGCUUGGCUAACAAAUCUAUAACUGAGACUAACACAAUUUCAACUAAUCAACUGCAACUAAAUUCUCUAUAAAUAAGACUCCAACAUUGAUAUAACAAUCUUGCAACAGAAUAAGAUAAGUAUACAGUCAUAACCAUCUUGUAACAAUAACAUUUAAAAACAAGAUUUAAUUACUUGAUAUUGAACAAUUUUCUACUAUUUAUACCAAUUAAAAAAAGUUAUA